rnacentral:tRNA from 1 species
GGGAAAAUAGCUCAGUGGUAGAGCAUCGGUUUCUUAACUCAAUGGUCGUCAGUUCGAUCCCCGGAUUAUUUCCG